UUAAUGAACAUGUGCACACCUGUCAUCUUUAUAUCUCCACCUGUGCACCUUUUGUAGAUCUAGAGAAGUUUCUUAAUGCUAGCAUUAAGGUUUUGGGAUUGACUUUCUGUCUUUUCUUAUAUUUCUGGUCUAUGUUUAUUCAUAUACCCUAAUGUAUGUUAAAGAAUGUAAUAAGUGGGCCUUUGUGCCUAUAAUACUAUACAACUUUCAGCAACGGAUCUCUUGGCUCUCGCAUCGAUGAAGAACGCAGCGAAAUGCGAUAAGUAAUGUGAAUUGCAGAAUUCAGUGAAUCAUCGAAUCUUUGAACGCACCUUGCGCUCCUUGGUAUUCCGAGGAGCAUGCCUGUUUGAGUGUCAUUAAUAUAUCAACCUCUUUAGCUUUUGCUUAUUGAGUGUUGGAUGUGGGGGUUUUUUGCUGGUCUUUUAAAAGAUCAGCUCCCUUCAAAUGCAUUAGCAGAACAAUUUGUUGACCGUUCAUUAGUGUGAUAAUUAUCUACGCUAUUGACGUAAAGCAGUUCAGCUUCUAACAGUCCAUUGACUUGGACAAUUUUUUAUUAAUGUGACCUCAAAUCAGGUAGGACUACCCGCUGAACUUA
rnacentral:rRNA from 1 species